AGUGAAUGAGAGAAGUAGCGCUCUCUAAUGUUUGAAGGUUAGGAAAAAAAUACUCAGCACCGCCGCUGUCUUCUCGCUCUCCAACUUAAAGGUUCGUAGUUUACGUACGUUUGUUUGCUGCUUCGUCAUCUUGUGUAUCACCAUCCUCUUAAGAGAACAUACAGAGAAUCAGACAGAGAGACGGACAUUGUCGACUGGCGAUUGUACGGUUUGUGUUACCCUCUGGGUCACUUUAUUACUUCUUUUAUCAAAUUCGCCUUGCUCGUUCGUCCUACGAACAGCGAAACGAAACCAAAAAACGGUUGGCUACUGUAUUAUUUACUACCUGGAUUUAAUACAUACAAGCACGCACGCACGCUCACACAUAUUUAUAUACACAUAAUCAGACACGCAUACACACAUAUUUUAUACAUUACAACAACCACAACCACGACGUCCUCAAGGCGGAGUAACUCUUCUAAAAAAACACGAUGUCCGAUGACUGGCAAUAGCAUAAGGUCUGACCUGUUGGUCGGCAACCGUGGUCAGUGCAUGACGACAACGACCGAUGGGAGACAACAAGGCCUGGUCACUCCAGGCCGUAACAACACCACCACCACUACUACUACUAUUACCACUAACAACAACAGCACCAGUAAAAACACUAGUGUUAGUAGUAGUAGCAUCAACAAUAACGCUACCAGUGAUACUAAUAUUAGCUAUAGUAGUAGUAGUAGUAGUAGUGUUGGUGGCGGUAGUAGUAGUUGUAAUAACAACACCAGUAUGUCGCAAUUACUUUCGUCUGUAGAGAAUGGCGACUUGGACGGUGCUUCUGGUGGCUUUAACGCGGAUUUGACCUUGCUUCUACCGGAUCACCCGAAAAAUGGACGGCGCGCGGAUGGCAAUGAUAACACCAGUCUAGGGCUGACUGUUGCGGCUGGGUGUGAAAUACCGCCGAGAGAUAACAGCAGCGUCAACAACAACAACACGCUCGUCACGUUUGGGACUAGUACGGUACUAACGAUGGUCGACAGGGAAGACGGCAUCAGAGCAAGUGGCAGCAAUCACAACAGCAGCAGUAAUAGUAGUAGUAGUUGUAAUAAUUACAAUAACACAAAUGUUAAAAGCGGCAAUAAUAACGAUCUUAACGAGAAGACGAAUAACAGCGGUCUUUAUUACGCAAACGGAUCGUCAUUAUUCAGUCUGGACGAGGACAGUAAUUCGCUGUCAUCGGGUGAUCCGAGAGCCAGGAUCUCUUCCUCUCAUAGCACCACUUUGUUCGGAAACAGUGGCGCGAUAGCAGCGGCGGUGGAAACCCCCGCCGCCGCCGCCGCCGCCAUCUUCGUCGUCUCUACUGUUAUUACUACUAAUACUACGACUACUACUAUUACCGCCUCCUCCUGUUCCACCGCCGUUACAACCAACAGCAGCCCCGCCGCCGCCGUCAUUACUUCCUCUUUUGACAACAACCACUGCCAACAGAUACAAGACUUUUACUCGAACCCGCACCAACACUAUCAUUACAACAACACUAACAAACAUAACAACGGUAUCAUUAAUAAGAAUAACAUCAACAGUAGCUGCUGUUGUUGCUGUUGUUAUCUCUCUGCUAGCAGUAGUAGUGACUGUAGUGCUGGUAUUAGUGGGGGUGAUAAUAAUAAUACUAAUAAUAAUAGCAACAACAGUACAACUAAUGCUAGUAACAUCCAUCACUCUGCCAUGGUAACUACCAACACCAGUAACAAUAACAACAGUGUCUGCGCUUUCACAGCUACUACAAAUAAUAGUAAAAAUUGUCUAACAAACAACAACAGUAAUUAUAUAGCAGCAUUGAAUAAUGUCACCACCACCAGUGGCUUACACGCACCUUUACUAACACCUAUAACAGACUUCGACACUAACGCCACAAACAGCUACUAUUACGACAACAAGACUACUACUACUACUACCGUUACUAACCACAGCAACACUACUACUACUACCACCUCGCCAUCGGUAUUGGCCGGGUCGACGACAACGACCACGACGAUUACCACUUCUACUACCUGCAGCAGUGGCAGUGGCGGCACACUGCCCUUGUCGGCGGCACUCGUGCCUCUGUCGUCGUCGUCUGACAUCAACUCACAACCGCAACAACAACACAACUCGCAACUUCAUCCGCACCAUCGUCAUCACCACCCGCAUCACCACCACCACCAUCACAAUCACCAUCAUCACAACAACAACCACUACCAUCAUCACCACUCUCAACAACAACAACACAACAUCAGGCCAUCAACAUGCCAGUUUGCCGAAGUAACGGCAACCGAGGACAAAAAUCUCAAAGAACUCCUGCUUCUCCAUAUAGACUUCAUUCACCACCAGCAGGACUUGCUUGCACAGAAGGACAGACAUAUAAGUGAUCUCAAGUCGGAAAACGAAACGUUAAAAUGCCGCAUAGAUCGCAUGGAGCGCCGUUUGUCUAUUCUGAAGCAGAAAGACGAGCCAAUGAACUCCUCCUAUCAUAUGUCAAAGACCCAGGCUAGCAAUGAAAGCACCGGUGACAGGGGCAGUAAGAAGAUUGCCUUUCUAAAACGUAGAGAAAGAAAAUUUGGAGUUGAUGCCCAGAACGUUCAAAAGAAAGUGAUAUCAGACUCCACAAGGUCCAAAUCACAUUCUGUAACGAAAAACAAGCUCUCUUGCCACAACAAUAACUCUGUGUCGAAAUGUACGGAGCUGUCGGAAAAUGGGGAGCUGAUUUUACGAACUGACAAUUUAUAUUAUGUCUCUUACUAUGAACCACCUCCUCCCACAGAACGAGUGUUAGUGAACUCACGACACACCAACGAUGAAAUAUGUCCUGAUGGUACAAAAGUAGAAAUUCCACAUUGGCGGUUACGGACAGUUGCCAAUUGUUAUACUUUAGAGGGUACAGAAAAUUUAGAAGAUGAAGUGUUUACUAAGCGCCAUCAAAAACCUGAACAUGAAGAGAAACGGAGAAAACGGUGGGACCUUCAACGGAUGCGAGAACAGAAAAUGUAUGAAAAAUUACGAGAGAAAGAGAAACCAGAUUCAAAAGACUCCAAAGAUGGCGAUAAUUUCUUAACGUCUUUUUAUCCUUCAUUAGAAGACAUCACACAUUUAGAGAUUGCAGACAAAGUACCAGUAACUGCCUUCGGUCAACCGAUUCCUUACAUAAAGCCUUCUGACUUUGAAUUACCAUGGGAACUGGGAGAGUGGCCCAGCUCGUCUAGUUCGAAUGCGGACGAUAACAACAGGCAGCUGAAACAUCGACGGAUGAAACGCAAGUGAUUCCUGUCUUGCAAGCGCACACACUCACUCACACUCACACACACACAGACAAAUACAAGUGUGUGUAUAUACACAUACAAGGGUGUGUGUAUAUCUAUAAAUACACACACACACAUAUCACAUACAAUUACUAACUGUGCAUAUGCACCCCAUACUGAUAAUAUACAAUAGAACUCCUUUUCUUCCCCUUCUUACAUCUACAUCUCUCCCUUCCCACCAUUUAAUCAUGUGUAUGUGACAUGCAUUCAUUAACCACAACUACAAGGCA